rnacentral:lncRNA from 1 species
GAGAUUAUGAUCAGGUGGCACAGAAAUCUGGGAUGGUGAAAAAACCAGGUUGCCCCUGCAGAUUCCGUGUCUGAGGUACAGCAUAUGCCAGGGGUCUUUUAGGCACAUGUGUGGGUUUUUGGUGGGAAAGUCUAUGAGGAUAGGUAGCAUGGGCAAUAAUCUUGAUGCUGAAGCCCUGUGCUGGGAGGGGCUUGACCACAUCAACAUGUGGUGCAUAUGUUCAGUGGGUGAAAAACAUGUGGUGGCCUCAGGUUGGCAGGAGGGUGGAAGGCAUCUGUUCUCAGAACUUCUUCCCUCAGAGUCGUCGGUCCUUUUUACCAUGGGAGGAUGCGUGGAACCACAGGGCAGUGCAUGGUGUAGCAGCCUGUGUGCAGAGCAGAGCCUACCUUCCCCGAGACACCUGGAGUCUCUCUCCAGCAGAGGCCCCCACAUUGUCUUUCUUUUUACAAUGCUUUUGAUCCUAAAUGUAGAAAGUUCCCUGAAAACCCCACUGAUUCUCCCAACACCCCAUAUUGUUGCCCCCAAAAAUUUAAUUCUGACACAACUUAGAGUUCGCAUAGACCCCAGAAAUUCAGGGCUCAGUCCCACAUCACCUGUCUCACUGUAGAGGAGAGUUACACAUCCCUGCAGCCCAUCUACACUUCUGAGCCUACCUCCUAUAAAUCUAAGACUAGCAUAAACCCCUUUUCAAGUUAAAUAAUUUGAUAGAAUUACUAAAAAGAAAAACCUCAACAAAUAACUGUAAUUAUAUUCACUACUUUAUUAUAAAAAUGUAACUCAGAAACAGCCAAAUGGAAGAGAUGUCUAGGGCAAGGAACAGUUGUAGGUGAAAGGUAAAUCCUGGAAAUAGCUAUAUUUAAAGAAAUUCCCUCCAUUCUUUUGCAUUCUCAAAGAACAGCUUAGUGGAAGAGAAACGUGCUUCCCCUGAUGACUUUUGAGGAUGCUCCCCGCUGUUUUUUUAACCUAUCACAAAAAUGGACACAAAUUGCAAAUUCCCAUUUUUAAAAAUGAACAACCAUUCAGUAAUUUAGUCUUCAGUGGUCAAAAUAACAUACUCUUUACAAGAAACUUUGCUUGUUUCUCUCUUCCAACCAGCCCCUGAACUUUGGACUCACCCACAGCUUCAGCAAACCCUACAACCCUUAUUUAUACAUACCCCUCCUAAGAACAGGCUGACUUCAAGGUGAAACAUUCUUAUCUGGGAUCUGAUUUUGCUACCCUCCAUCCUGUGCUUCCUUUCCAACCUUCUUUGUAAACUUGUUUUCUCCUCCCUAUGAAAUAAGGCCCUUUUCCACCUAACUUUUGAGAUCCUCAAAGAUCUAAUCAUUUGUACUUUUUCUUUGUUCCAAUACUUCUUAGGUAACUUCUUAGACCAAGUCUAGAAACAGUUUGAGGACAAUAACAAUUCCAUUCUAAGAAGAAUCUCCCAACAUUUCUUCUAUCUCAACCUCAACUGCAUCUGCCUGUGAACUUCCAGCUUACCAAGGCUCUAUAUCUUCUGGCAGUGACAAAGGCUCUUUCCACUUACCAGUUAGUCAUUCAGUUAGUUUUCAAUUCAAAAAAUACUUCAUGUUUGAAGAAUCCAGCAAAAAUUAUUCAAAUCUAAGGUAUAAAAGAGAGGAAAUUACAGCCAGGCAUGGUGACUCAUGCCUGUAAUCCCUGCAUUUUGGGAGGCCUAGGUGAUCCACCUGCUUCUGGCUACCCAAAUUUGCUGGGAUUACAGGCGUUAAGCCAAUAUACUCGGCCUCCUGAGAAUUUCAUAAUAUUUCUAACAAGUACAAAUCCAUAGGGCACAUGACAACUGCAAUGUCCAUUCUACAGUAAAUACAGUUUGAUGAAUAAUAAUGAAAGGCAAUUGACCUAAGGUG